rnacentral:lncRNA from 1 species
CAAAAUUUACGGUGACAGAAGGAAAAGUGCCACCAAAACCUCAUCCCUGGAUAUGGGGAAAGCGGACUUCAGGCUGCUCAGGGAACUAGUCAGCAAGGUCCCCUGGGAAACUGCUCUUGAAGGCCUCGAUGUCCACCAGUGCUGGUCAUUCUUUAAGCGAUGCCUCCUAGAAGCACAAGAUCAGGCAAUUCCUAAAUAUCGCAAGUCAGGCAGGCGGGGCAGGAGGCCUGCGUGGCUGACCAGGAACAUUCUAAUGGAGAUUAGGCGGAAACAGAGAGUGUUUCGCUACUGGAAGGAGGGCCAGGUAUCAUGGAAAGAAUACAGGGAUGCUGUUCGUGUUUGUAGGGAGAAAAUUCGUGUGGCUAAAGCACACCUAGAGUUGAAGCUGGCUGUGUCUGUGAGAGAAAAUAAAAAGGGUUUUUUUAGAUAUGUGAAUGGAAAAAGGAGAACUAAAGAAUACAUAGGGCCGCUCCUUGAUGGGGAAGGUCUCCUCGCAGACAAUGACAUAGGCAAAGCAGAGACGCUUAACGCCUUCUUUGCCUCUGUCUUCAAUGCCGAUGAUGGGCUUCGGGACCCAGGGUGCCCUGAGCUGGAGGACCAGGACGGUGGGGAUGACAAACUCCCAACUGACCCUGAACGUGUGCGGGAUUUGCUACUCCACCUGGAUCCCUACAAGUCCAUGGGUCCGGAUGGGAUUCAUCCCCGGGUGCUGAAAGACCUGGCGGAUGUCAUUGCAGAACCUCUCUCAAUUAUUUUUCAACGAUCCUGGGAAUCUGGAGAGGUCCCGGUAGACUGGAAGCUGGCAAAUGUUGUGCCGAUUUUCAAGAAGGGUCAGAAAGAAGACCCUAGCAAUUACAGGCCUGUCAGUCUCACGUCAGUGCCUGGUAAAAUCAUGGAGAAGAUGGUUCUCGAACUUAUUGAGGCGCACCUGGGGGACAAAGCAGUCAUUGGUCCCAGCCAGCAUGGGUUUGUGAAGGGUAGGUCCUGCCUAACUAACCUGAUUUCCUUUUAUGAUAAGAUCACCCGUAUGGUGGACCAAGGGAAACCAGCUGAUGUGAUUUUUUUGGACUUCAGCAAGGCUUUUGACACGGUUUCCCAUAGGAUCCUACUGGACAAAAUGUCCACCAUACAGCUAAAUAAAAACAUCAUACGAUGGGUGAGCAAUUGGCUAACGGGC